rnacentral:rRNA from 1 species
ACAUUGAUCCGCUGCUUUGUAACACUCGGCUAAUCUCUGACUGUCCGUUAAGUUGUUCAACUCUAAAUGUGUCAAUCAUUAGUAUGUAUAUGUAAUCAAUCAGUUAAUCAGUUACAUGAAUGGUUAAUCAAUCAACCUGUUACAUGAAUGGUUUGUCAAUUAAUUAAUCAAUCAUUAGUAUACAUAUGUAAUCAUUCACUAAUUCAAUCUGUUAUAUAUCUAGUUCAUCAAUCAAUCAGUCUGUUACAUGUCUAGUUUGUCAUUCACUCAAUCACUAGUAUGCAUAUCUAGUUUGUCAGUUAAUUAAUCAAUGAUCAGUAUGCAUAUCUGGUUUAUUAUUCACUAAUUCAAUCUGUUACAUGAAUGGUCAAUUAGUCAAUGAUCAAUCUAGUUUGUCACUCAAUUUAUUACAUGGUUUGUCAAUCAGUUACAUGAAUGGUUAAUCAAUCAACCUGUUACAUGAAUGGUCAAUUAAUUAAUCAAUCAUUAGUAUACAUAUGUAAUCAUUCACUAAUUCAAUCUGUUACAUGAUCAAUCAAUUAAUUAGUCAAUGAUCAGUCUAGUUUUUCUGUCAAUCAGUCUGCUACAUGAAUGGUUAAUCAAUCUGUUAUAUAUCUAGUUCAUCAAUCAAUUAAUGAUCAGCCAAAUUUGUCAAUUAAUUAAUCUGUUACAUGAAUGGUCAAUCAAUCACUAGUAUGUAUAUCUAGUUACUCAAUCAGUUACAUGAAUGGUCAAUUAAUUACUAGUUACUCAAUCACUAAUUCAAUCUGUUAUAUAUCUAAUUUGUCACUCAAUUUAUUACAUGGUUUGUCAAUCAGUCUGUUACAUGAAUGGUCAAUUAAUCAAUGAUAUAUCUGGUUUGUUAAUUAAUCAUUAGUAUGUAUAUUUAGUUAAUCAAUCAGUCAAUCAAUCACUAGUAUGUAUAUCUAGUUUGUCAAUUAAUUAAUUGUCAUUUUACAUGUAUGAUCAAUCAAUCAGUCUGCUACAUGAAUGGUUAAUCACUAGUACAUAUAUUUACUCAAUCAAUUACUAGUACGUAUAUUUAAUCAGUCAAUUACAUGUGUGGUUUGUCAAUUAAUUAAUAUGUUGUACAUUUAGUUUGUCAAUCAAUCAAUCAUCAGUCAAGUUUGUCAAUCAAUUAAUCAUUAGUAUGUAUAUCUAGUUCAUCAAUCAAUUAACUAAUCAAUAUAUUACAUUUAUUAUCAAUCAAUCAUUAUGCUAUAUUAUAGGCAAUUAACCAUUCAGUCAAUUAAUUCAAUUAAUCAAAACGCUACAUGGUUAAUCACUCAAUUAAUCUGUCAACUCUCUGUCUGGUUUGUCAAUCAAUUAGUCAUUAAUAUGUAUAUCUAGUUCAUCAAUCAAUUAACUAAUCAAUUGACCAUUCAGUCAAUUAGUCAUUCAUUAAUUCAAUCAAUUAAAUGUAUGGUUUGU